rnacentral:tRNA from 1 species
GGGCCCAUAGCUCAGUUCGGUAGAGCACUCGACGAGUAAUCGAGUGGUCAGGGGUUCAAAUCAGCUGGUCACGCUCAGCAAAGUGCAUAAGCGUUCGGCUAUGAAAGUCCCCUUGGGCUCA